rnacentral:rRNA from 1 species
AAUUGUGCAAAGGUAGCGUAAUCACUUGUCCCCCAAAUAGGGACCCGUAUGAAAGGCUAACUGAGGGCCACCCUGUCUCUUGUGACCAAUCAAUGAAACUGAUCUCCCAGUACAAAAGCUGGGAUACACACAUAAGACGAGAAGACCCUGUGGAGCUUUAAGCCACUGCCCUACCCCUCUAAAACCAAUAUAGGACAUGCUUUAAGUUGGGGCGACUGCGGAGAAAAAUAAACCCUCCAUGAAACCAGGCUCACCGCCACCACAAAACAAACACGUAACCUGGUACACACAACAUGACCCAGCACAGCUGACCACCGAACCAAGUUACCCCAGGGAUAACAGCGCCAUCCCCCUCAAGAGUCCAUAUCGCCAGGGGGGCUUACGACCUCGAUGUUGGAUCAGGACCCCCAAAUGGUGUAGCCGCUAUUAAAGGUUCGUUUGUUCAACGAUUAAAGUCCUACGUGAU